rnacentral:rRNA from 1 species
ACGUACUAAUUUAUUGGUUUCUUCCUUCUGACGAACUAUGAUGUCAUUAAUUUGGUGUCUUGGGGAAUCAGGACUGUUACUUUGAAAAAAUUAGAGUGUUUAAAGCAGGCUCACGCUUGAAUACAUUAGCAUGGAACAAUGAAAUAGGACGCUUGAUUCUAUUUUGUUGGUUUCUAGGAUCGACGUAAUGAUUAAUAGGGAUAGUUGGGGGCAUUAGUAUUCAAUUGUCAGAGGUGAAAUUCUUGGAUUUAUUGAAGACUAACUACUGCGAAAGCAUUUGCCAAGGAUGUUUUCAUUAAUCAAGAACGAAAGUUAGGGGAUCGAAGACGAUCAGAUACCGUCGUAGUCUUAACCAUAAACUAUGCCGACUAGGGAUCGGAUGAUGUUAAUUUUUUAAUGACUCAUUCGGCGCCUUACG